GUCCCCGGACCGCCGGCUCGCCGGGCAAGCGCUGGGACCCCGAGGCCAGUCCAGGCAUCUGGAUCUCCGACACAGAGGCAGCCACGCAGUGAUUCCCUGGCGACCCUCAGACUCACGUGUUCAGCCCGGACACUCCGCAGGCUAUCUUCACCGCGUCCCGCGGCAGCCCAGCCUUCCCCGCAGCCGCCUCCGCCCACUCGCCCGCGCCGCGUCGUUUGUCGGCCGGCACCAGCCUUGCGGCCCCAGCUCCGCCCUCCUGCAGCCCAGGCCCAGCAGCUCCGGAACUGGCGCCCUUUGGCGCACCCGCCUCGCUGCCCAUGGCCUCCGCCUGCCUCCCCUGCGCUCAGCUCCCGCUUCUGGUCCCUGUAGCAAAGCUGGAAGGCAGGCCUGCAAGGCAGCCCCUUGCUCCGUGGUCCCUCUCACCAUCAUAAUGUUCAUAUUAAAUAAUUAUCUUUACAUAACUUUGAAUACUUAUGUUAUUGGUUCUGUUUUUGGCAAAAUGUAAUAAAAUUUCAUGGGUCCGAAAGUUUUCAUUUUUUCCAAUGUGAGAAAGAAAAAUAAAACCUUUUCUUCUACCCUAAA
rnacentral:lncRNA from 1 species